GACGAACGCUGGCGGCGUGCUUAACACAUGCAAGUCGAACGAAGAGCGAUGGAAGCUUGCUUCUAUCAAUCUUAGUGGCGAACGGGUGAGUAACGUGUAAUCAACCUGCCCUUCAGAGGGGGACAACAGUUGGAAACGACUGCUAAUACCGCAUACGAUCUAAUCUCGGCAUCGAGGAUAGAUGAAAGGUGGCCUCUACAUGUAAGCUAUCACUGAAGGAGGGGAUUGCGUCUGAUUAGCUAGUUGGAGGGGUAACGGCCCACCAAGGCGAUGAUCAGUAGCCGGUCUGAGAGGAUGAACGGCCACAUUGGGACUGAGACACGGCCCAGACUCCUACGGGAGGCAGCAGUGGGGAAUCUUCCGCAAUGGACGAAAGUCUGACGGAGCAGCGCCGCGUGAGUGAUGACGGCCUUCGGGUUGUAAAGCUCUGUUAAUCGGGACGAAAGGCCUUCUUGCGAAUAGUGAGAAGGAUUGACGGUACCGGAAUAGAAAGCCACGGCUAACUACGUG
rnacentral:rRNA from 1 species